AUUUUUCUUCAAAGCCACAUCCUCUCUCUAGAAAGUUUCUUCUUCUUCCUCUGACUUCUUUCUAGAUUUCCAGCACCUUGAACCAUAUGAAUUCAAUUCUGGUGCUACCAAGGCGUUCGUGGAGUAGAGGGCUUCAUUUCAACCGAACGUUUUCGUCGUUCCGAUCGGGGUAGCGUGAGUUCUUGGCUGUAGGAUAGUUGUGCUUGGAGAAAACCAGAUGUUGUCGAGGAGGUUCCCUUGAAGCAAGAGUUGGAAGAGGCUGAUGCUGCAGUAUAGUCUUUUUAGGAUUUCUAAAUUUACGUUGGUGUUAUUUUGUAAUACUCUAAACUGUUAAAGUUUUAAGUUCUCUCCUUUACGUGGAUGACUGUACUGUCAACUACGGACAUACUAUUCUA
rnacentral:sRNA from 1 species